GAUGAACGCUGGCGGCGUGCUUAACACAUGCAAGUCGAACGGAAAGGCCCAAGCUUGCUUGGGUCCUCGAGUGGCGAACGGGUGAGUAACACGUGGGUGAUCUGCCCUGCACUUCGGGAUAAGCCUUGGAAACUGGGUCUAAUACCGGAUAGGACGAUGGUUUGGAUGCCAUUGUGGAAAGUUUUUUCGGUGUGGGAUGAGCUCGCGGCCUAUCAGCUUGUUGGUGGGGUAAUGGCCUACCAAGGCGUCGCCGGGUAGCCGGCCUGAGAGGGUGUACGGCCACAUUGGGACUGAGAUACGGCCCAGACUCCGACGGGAGGCAGCAGUGGGGAAUAUUGCACAAUGGGCGCAGGGCUGAUGCAGCGACGCCGCGUGGGGGAUGACGGCCCUCGGGUUGUAAACUCCUUUCGCUAGGGACGAAGCGUUUUUGUGACGGUACCUGGAGAAGAAGCACCGGCUAACUACGUG
rnacentral:rRNA from 1 species